GUGUAGAAAGAUUAGUUGGCUUUUUUUACGGGAGAAGGUGCUGGAAACGAUGGAUGUGGAGGGGAAGGAUCCAUGUGUCUUUCCAGAGCCAACGAGGUGUCCGAUUUUUUCUCAGAGCCCGGACGCCCGUGUCUUAGCGUUUCCGUUUUGUGAAACACUAAAGCAUUAUUUGUCAAUGGAGUCAUAGAGUUUGGUCCUUAUUUGAGGUAAUCAAUUAAUCAUAUUAGCUUCAUUUUGAAUGAAAGAAAAAUAGUUCGAUUAAAGGGCCCAUAGUUUCCGAUUUGCCCAAGGGUUCUUGAAACCUUAGAGCCGACCCUACAGCGAACAUGGCCU
rnacentral:lncRNA from 1 species